rnacentral:rRNA from 1 species
UACGGAGGAUUCAAGCGUUAUCCGGAUUUAUUGGGUUUAAAGGGUGCGUAGGCGGCCUGUCAAGUCAGGGGUGAAAGACGGUAGCUUAACUAUCGCAGUGCCCUUGAUACUGAUGGGCUUGAAUAUACUUGAGGUAGGCGGAAUGUGACAAGUAGCGGUGAAAUGCAUAGAUAUGUCACAGAACACCAAUUGCGAAGGCAGCUUACUAAGGUAUGAUUGACGCUGAGGCACGAAAGCGUGGGGAUCAAACAGG